GUGCCAGCCGCCGCGGUAAUACGAAGGGGGCAAGCGUUGCUCGGAAUAACUGGGCGUAAAGGGCGCGUAGGCGGUUAAAAUAGUUAGAUGUGAAAUCCCUGAGCUUAACUUAGGAACUGCAUUUAAUACGUUUUAACUAGAGUACAAGAGAGGAUUAUGGAAUUUCCAGUGUAGAGGUGAAAUUCGUAGAUAUUGCAAAGAACACCAGUUGCGAAGGCGAUAAUCUGGCUUGAUACUGACGCUGAGGCGCGAAAGCGUGGGGAGCAAACAGGAUUAGAAACCCUUGUAGUCC
rnacentral:rRNA from 1 species